UUAGUUGUGGCUGAGUGGUUUAAAGCAACGAUUUGCUAAAUCGUCAAAUAAAAAUUCUUUAUUUCGCAAGUUCGAAUCUUGUCAUCUAAU
rnacentral:tRNA from 5 species